UACGUAGGGUGCAAGCGUUGUCCGGAAUUAUUGGGCGUAAAGAGCUCGUAGGCGGUCUGUCACGUCGGCUGUGAAAACUCGGGGCUCAACCCCGAGCCUGCAGUCGAUACGGGCAGACUAGAGUCCGGCAGGGGAGACUGGAAUUCCUGGUGUAGCGGUGAAAUGCGCAGAUAUCAGGAGGAACACCGGUGGCGAAGGCGGGUCUCUGGGCCGGAACUGACGCUGAGGAGCGAAAGCGUAGGGAGCGAACAGG
rnacentral:rRNA from 1 species